GACGUAGGGCGCGAGCGUUGUCCGGAUUUAUUGGGCGUAAAGAGCUCGUAGGCGGUUCGGUAAGUCGGGUGUGAAACCUCCAGGCUCAACCUAGAGACGCCACCCGAUACUGCUGUGACUAGAGUCCGGUAGGGGAGCGUGGAAUUCCUGGUGUAGCGGUGAAAUGCGCAGAUAUCAGGAGGAACACCGGUGGCGAAGGCGGGUUGCUGGGCCGACACUGACGCUGAGGCGCGAAAGCCAGGGGAGCGAACGGG
rnacentral:rRNA from 1 species